rnacentral:rRNA from 1 species
CGUAAAGCGCAUGCAGGCGGCCUGUUAAGUCAGAUGUGAAAGCCCGGGGCUUAACCUCGGAAUUGCAUUUGUAAACUGGCAGGCUAGAGUCUUGUAGAGGGGGGUAGGAAUUUCAGGUGUAGCGGUGAAAUGCGUAGAGAUCUGAAGGAAUACCAGUGGCGAAGGCGGCCCCCUCGGACAAAGACUGACGCUCAGAUGCGAAAGCGUGGGGAGCAAACAGGAUUAGAUACCCUGGUAG